CAAAUUUGUUUAUGGCCGACUGGGAGUCACAAGCCAUUUUUGGUAACCAUGCGUGGAGAGCAAACCUGGUUUCCUUCUUCAGAUAUAUUGACGAUCUGUUUUUUAUUUGGAAUGGUACCGAAGAAGCUCUAAAUUCUUUUAUCACUAACCUCAACCUGAAUAAUAGAGGUAUAAUACUCACCUGCGAAUACAGUAGAGAACAAAUCAAUUUUUUAG